UUUCGGUUGGCUGGGAGAGUUUGAGUGGUCUUGAAAUGUUGAGUUGAUUGGGUUGUUAGUGUAGGUAGUGGGAUUGUAAUCAAAGUGGUUUCUAUUUUUAUUUUUAUUUUAUAUUUUUUUUCAAAAUUAUUCUCUCUCUUUCCAAAAAAGAAAUCUGACGUCAAUUUUAUUUUGUCUUUCUCUGCAUUUUCGUUCUUCUUUUAUUUUUGCUACCUCCUUCCAUUUUGUUUACAAAUUGUUAUCAAAUCUCUACACCUUGGUUU
rnacentral:lncRNA from 1 species